rnacentral:miRNA from 1 species
UGAAUAGUAUAUGUAUGUCUCAUGCAGUUGUUGGGACAUAGUUAUACUAAAA